rnacentral:rRNA from 1 species
AACGAACGCUGGCGGCAUGCCUAACACAUGCAAGUCGAACGAGACCUUCGGGUCUAGUGGCGCACGGGUGCGUAACGCGUGGGAAUCUGCCCUUGGGUUCGGAAUAACAGUUAGAAAUGACUGCUAAUACCGGAUGAUGUCUUCGGACCAAAGAUUUAUCGCCCAGGGAUGAGCCCGCGUAGGAUUAGGUAGUUGGUGGGGUAAUGGCCCACCAAGCCGACGAUCCUUAGCUGGUCUGAGAGGAUGAUCAGCCACACUGGGACUGAGACACGGCCCAGACUCCUACGGGAGGCAGCAGUGGGGAAUAUUGGACAAUGGGCGAAAGCCUGAUCCAGCAAUGCCGCGUGAGUGAUGAAGGCCUUAGGGUUGUAAAGCUCUUUUACCAGGGAUGAUAAUGACAGUACCUGGAGAAUAAAGCUCCGGCUAACUCCGUGCCAGCAGCCGCGGUAAAGUCUGUACU